UUGAGGAAUUGGUUCGCCAGGCGGUCCGUCUAGACAACACGGUGAGGGAUCGCCGGCGCCGAAGGCAAGCAGAGAACACUAGAGCUUCGGCUCCGCCCAGCGACACUGCUGAACCCAUGCAGUUGGGCCGGUCUCCGCUGACUCCAUCAGAGAGACGCCGGGGAACGCAAGGGGGGCUCUGUUUAUACUGCGGUGGAACAGGUCAUUCCAUCUCCGCUUGCCCCAUUCGACCCCAACAUGAGGAUGUCUCUGUGCCGUGGUGCCACGGGUAACUUCAUAGACAUCAAACUAGCUCACCGGUUGCACUUACCUCUCCGGAGACUGGCUUAUCCCAUUACAGUCCAGGGGGUGACGGGAGAAAGAAUGCAGGAGGGAACCAUCCAUCAUCGGACACACCCUUUGGUGAUGCAGAGACUGUGACUGCGCCAUCGAUCUUCUGGAAGGCGCAACUCUUC